rnacentral:lncRNA from 1 species
GGCGACCGGAUUACAAUUCCAGCCAGCAUGAACACGGGACGGCGCGCAGUCCUGAAGGGCGAAGCAGGGCUGCGCCGGGCUUGCUGUACAUGCUGGGAGCUGUAGUCUUUUCACCGCUCCCGCCCGUUGUUUCAAGCGCUUCGGGACUACAAUCCCAGCAUGCCCCGGGCUCGGGGGCGGGGCGCAGUUCUUGUGGGAGGAGCGGGGCGGUGAGCGCCUGGCCGGGCAGGCUGGAAACGGUAGCUCUUAACUGUUCCCCGCCCGUUGAUGACGAGGCGGCUGGACUAGAAUCCCAGCAGGAGACAUGCGAGGAGGCGGGCAGCCCAAGAGGGUUGGGCAGGGCAGUGUGGACCUCGCCGCUUCCACAGCGAUGCUGGCUACUGAUCGCGGGCACCUCCUUGCCAUGGGAUUCGCAGACGCGCCCACUUUCAGCCCAGCAUGCCGAAAGUGGCCGAGUCCCGUCUGCCCCUGCGGGCCGCUCGCCGUCGCCAUGGAAACGAAAGCGGCCAAGGAGGGCUCCGCCCUGACGCGCCGGCUCCGGUGGGCUCCGGCGGCUGCGCCGCGGCGGACAAAGAUGCUGAAGGCCAAGAUCCUCUUCGUGGGGCUUUGCGAGGAGCCGCCCCCUGCUUCCCUGUUUCUGUCAAAGCCACCAACACUUUUCCGCUUUGAGAGCCUAAUCCUCAAAGCCACGUGGAAAGAGUGGAACCUUCACUUCACAGUCCUGGAUCCCAGCUGCCCCCAAACCAGC